rnacentral:rRNA from 1 species
GACGGGGGAUGUAAGCAUUAUCCGGAAUCACUGGGCGUAAAGCGUCUGUAGGUGGUGAUGCCAGUCACUGGUGCAAAACUCUGGCUCAACCGGAGGAAAGCCAGUGAAACUGCAUGACUAGAGUGUGGGAGAGGUAGAAGGAAUUCCCUGAGUAGCGGUGAAAUGCGUAGAUACAGGGAAGAACACCGGAGGCGAAAGCGUUCUACUGGAACACAACUCACACUGAGAGACGAAAGCUCGGGGAGCGAAUGGG